rnacentral:misc_RNA from 1 species
GCAGCAAAGGGAAAGAUAUAGCGGAAGGCUCAUCAAGAUCAGGUGGCGGUGGUAAUGCUACUGAUCAACAGAACCCACCUCCGUUGAGCAGGUACGAGUCGCAGAAACGCCGAGAUUGGAACACUUUCGGCCAGUACUUGAGGAACCAGAGGCCACCAGUUGCACUAUCUCAAUGCAACGCCAACCAUGUGCUUGACUUUCUUCGCUAUCUGGAUCAAUUUGGCAAGACCAAGGUGCACUUACAAGGGUGUGUUUUUUUUGGCCAGCCAGAGCCACCAGGUCCUUGUACUUG